rnacentral:lncRNA from 1 species
GUCAAUCGUUCUUGGUUUAGGUUAUCUCGAACUUUAAACCAACUUUGUCAAAGUAAAGAUAACUCCAGAAUGUGGAAGUUACACUAGUUAGUUGUCUUCUGCUAAUUCGUACAAAUGUGUAACUAAGACUCUGUUUUAAAUUUCACAAAUACAGAAAACAAAAACUAUAGAAUGUUUAAAUUCCUUUGAAAAUAUGACAUAUACUCAAUUAUUGGACUGUGCUAGUUGCAUUAUGUCUUGUAGCAAGAAAGUGAUAUUAGAAUGAGAGGAGCCUCCUUCUUCCACAGCCUUGUGAGCUGAUUCUCCAAGCUCUUUGGCUCUUCUUCUUCUCUCUUUUGCAUCAUCACUCUCACCCAUUAGUUCUUCCACUGCCUUCUUCACUCCUUCUUUAUCCACCAACACUCCUAUCUUCUCUUCUUCUCCCCAUUUCAUGACCUCUUUAACCUCGGCACUUACACCGACUUUUAGUAUUUGUACGACCAGUUUCUCGUUGCAGAAUUGGUCUGCAAAUAGUGGCCAUGUAAGCAUUGGUAGACCAGCAGUUAUCCCCUCAAGAGUCGAGUUCCAUCCGCAGUGCGUUAAGAACCCUCCAACAGAAGGAUGUGAAAGGAUAAGCAUUUGAGGGGACCAUCCUUUGAUGAGAAGUCCUCUAUCUUGGAUUCUAUCUUCAAAGCCGCUUUCCGAGAACCACUCAACUAACUCUUUGUAUUUCUCCCAACCUCUUAUGACCCAGAUGAAAGGUCUUUGGGAUUCCUCUAGGCCUAGUCCCAGCUCAAGGAGCUGAGACAGAGGAAGAUUACAAAUACUUCCAAGGCAAACGUAGAGCACAGAUCCCGGUUCCUUAGAAUCGAGCCAUUCAAGGCACUCAUCUUGAUCAAUAUCUGAUUUGUUUCCCCUCUCUGCUUUGUCUACUCCUACCUUGUUGCACAAGGAAACAGGUCCAAUGGUCCAUGCUUUACCAGACCUUGCCUCCUUGAAGUCUUUGGCAUACGCAGGUUCGAGCUCUUGAAAUGAGUUGACUAUAACACCAUAAGAUGUCUUAUCCGCUUCUACCAUAUCCUCCAAGAUCUCUUUCCAGCCUGCAGGAACAUAUGUUUCCACCGGAACUUGAGGUCUUGUGAAUUCAACUCUAUCAGGAAAAUAAGGAACAAUGAAGUACUCCUUAUCAGACUUUAAAUUGUCCAAGAUCUCACGGUUCUUGCGCAGAACGUUAACACACAGAAGACAAAAGCAACCCAUGCCAUGGAAGAGGAUCUUUGGUAUUUUGAACUUCUUGGCGAUUUCGCUUGUAUACGACAAACACAUAUCAGAGAUUAGACAGCUUGGUCGCGGGCUCAUCUCUUCAAUAAGGUUCUGGACUGGUUCUUUGAGUAAGUUAACCGCUUUAAAGAAAGAUGUUAUCUGCUCCAUCGUGGUAAGCAAAUCCAUAUUUUCUUGUCCUUCUUGCAGACCAGCUUCUUGAUAUGGAAACUUGACUUGCACUAGGUUGAUGGGCAAACCAGACUCAAUGGCACGGUUUAGGACAUUCUUGAACCUUGCUGCAUUGUGAGGCGUCGUGACAAUUGUUAUAAGCACACCUCGCUGAGCCAAGAGCCUUGCAAUAUCAACCAUGGGAAUCAUGUGGCCUUGAGCCAUGAAAGGGAAGAGAACAAAGUGAAGAGGAAAAGGUUCGUUGUUUUUUUCGAAAGCCAUGACGAUGCAACUUUAGUAAGAACCUCUCAAGUUUUGUUUCGUUUUCGGUUAAUAUCUGUGUAAGCUUAUAUAUAGAACAAGAUGCGUGGAGAGCAAGAAAGAAAGUGAACAGAAGACGUAAACAGAUUUUUACUUGCCAAACACCUCUUUUUAAGUCCACAGAUUGUGCUUGCGACAGACUUUAGUAAAUGCUUAAGUUUGUCCGUAUGUGACCAUCCUACAUCUUCUAGUGACCUUCCUUCUCAGA